rnacentral:tRNA from 1 species
GUCCAGGGAUGGGAAUCGAACACACAGUGUUCCGCUUACCGGGCAGAUGCCAUGUCCACUAGGCUACCCUGGA